GUAGGGUGCAAGCGUUAUCCGGGAAUCAUUGGGCGUAAAGAGCUCGUAGGCGGUUCAGCAAGUCGGCUGUGAAAUCCCGAGGGCUUAACCUCGGAACUGCAGUCGAUACUGCUGUGACUAGAGUCCGAUAGAGGAGAAUGGAAUUCCCGGUGUAGCGGUGAAAUGCGCAGAUAUCGGGAGGAACACCAGUAGCGAAGGCGGUUCUCUGGGCCGGCACUGACGCUGAGGAGCGAAAGCGUGGGUAGCAAACAGGAUUAGAUACCCUGGUAGUCCACGCCGUAAACGUUGGACACUAGGUGUGGCGUUCCGACCAACGGGUGCCGUGCCGAAGCUAACGCAUUAAGUGUCCCGCCUGGGGAGUACGGCCGCAAAGGCUA
rnacentral:rRNA from 1 species